rnacentral:lncRNA from 1 species
AAGACUCAGCCCAUUCUUCGGCAAAGAAGUUAGUUUCAUUGGCUUGAACCACAGGGACGUCCUUGUUCAGUAUAAGUGUGAAACAAUCCGCAUAGAACUUCCUGAACCCACCAGCAGAGGCAAUUAAGCUCCUAACGUCAUCUCGUCUCAUUGAUGGCCACAGAGAUGUGCAGGCAUUUUCCCACAGAUCCUCUUCAUUUGAUAUGGCACGAAAAUCAGCGCAGGCACAGCCUGCUCUUGCCAGAGCUGCAGCAUCGAGACGCUUGAGUAUGUCGUAAAAGAGGUCAGCACUCAGCGAUGCCAUGAUCACAGCCAGCUGCAGUUGCAGCUAAAAGAGAUGACACCCAAUCAAGCUGGAGCAUAACAACACAGGACUAUGGUUAGUUUCUUCUCAGCAUACCAAUUGAUAUUAUAUCAACAGAUCUCCAAAGUCAUCCAAUGAGUAGAUAGAUGACUUUAGUGAGAUGUUGCUUCAAAGAAAAAAAAUAUGUAGUGUGCUGCUGAAACUUUGGCCCAUCAGUUAAAUUUCUUAAUAGAAAGAGAGGAUCUCAAUAGCGGUGCAGAGUAGGCCAAAACGACCAAACUCCCAGAUCUGGAAAACCAAGGCAUCCAGUUCCAAGCCUGCUCGGCAGCACAAAAUCAAUACGACUGUCCUAAAAUCAACAGCUGUUAUUUACAUCACAGAUACUCUUCCUGGCGCUUGUAUUGCACUAUGACAGUGAAUGGAACUAGCCAUUUCAAUUGGCCAUAGAAGCAAUGUUAUGGUUGCUUCAUUGCCAACAAAAGAGCUGAGCACUUGCUUAGUAAUGAACUAAAAUCUAGUGAAACAUAAGUUGGGAAGUCAAUCAGUCUCUUUUUUUUUUGGUGAAGCUUAAACCAAUCAGUCUUUUGGCCAGGCACUGGGAGGAGGCGACGAACAGGUUGUGCAUAGUUCUAUUGGAGUGACCGCGUCUUGCUGGUGAGAGAAGAAAUCACGGGCAGGAAACUGAAUCAGAACCACCCACCACCCAAAAAAAACCCCCACAGAUCUAGGGUUACAGCUGCAGGAGGAGCAAGAAGCAUCGAGGGGAAGAGGGAGACGAGAGAGGCAGGCUCACCUCAAGAAUCAAG